rnacentral:lncRNA from 1 species
AGAAUCGGAGUAGGGGGAGGGAUGGUGGGGAGGAGGGAAAGGGAUAGAAGAGAAGUGGUAGGGGAAUGAGAUGAGAGGGGAGGGGAGAGGGAGAGAAGGAUGGAAAAUGGUAGCCUCGUUAAGUUUGUAACAGAAAAUGGCAGGUGAAAAUGGCAGGUGUUACGUUUGUAACGGAAAAUAGUUAGCUGUGACUGAUUUGGUAUUUUUUAAAAGUUUAAUGAGUGAAUUGAAAGUUGAGUGACUGUUUUGUCAUUGAAAUCAAUCUUAAGUGACAAUUGGUGUAAUUUAC